AAUGAAUCUUUAUUUGCUAUAUAAGCUCUAUAGCUGCAUUCAUUGUCUUGAGCUGUCCAAAGCUUCCAAAGGGUAGUUUCUAAGUUGUUCCUCUCUGGUACUAUAUAAAUGACUAAUCCUGGUAAAAACAAAUCAGGAAUAUCUUCAGGUGCUGAUGGCACAUCUUCUAUAAACUGAGAGACUGGGUCCUCAACUAUAUCGGCAGAGGAUUGGUAAUAUGGCUUCAUAAAACUAUGAGAGGAACUGCAAUCAAUUUCAUCACAAGAACUAUUUUCCAUCUUAGUAUUUUUCCCAUGAGAUAUAUCUUUUGCCCGUUCCAUGCUCCCUGCAACAAUAAUAAACAUAAAGAAAAACAAAAGUUUACAUUUUAAAUUACAGAACUAGCUUGUUAAUUGCCACCGAGUAGUUGGUAGCAAGGUCAAUUGAUUAUAUUAUAUCAGCAAGCCAGAUAGGAUUCCACAUUGUUACCACCGGAGUGAUGAAUGCCCCUAUUCUCCUCGGCUUUCAUUACCACUGCAGUCAAAUCUGAAGCUGAAAAUCUGUUGUCCCCUCGAAGUUGAUUGUUCUCGCCAAGAAAUCGGCGUGCAAGUCUAUAAAUUGCAGUACAAUCAGUGUUUGAGUUGCUUGAUAAUGCUACAAGUGCAGAUGCACGAAGCCUAAGUAUAGAUGUUACUGAAAGGCGUGCUGAAAAUUCAUGUUGGUAUACAAUGCUGCAUAAACACACAAACACACACUUGUAUUACUAGCUGAAAGUUUAGCAAAAAACAUCCAUAUAGAUGGGCAUCAGAUAGCUACACACCCCCAAAUAAACAAAAGCAUAAAUAGAGGGAAAAAAGUAUGUUUUGCACCUUGUUAUAAAUCCUGAGCAUGCAUCUGCUAUUACUGCAUCCAUGCAAGGAAGGGUUGUUCAAAUCCUCAGAAGCUGAACCUCUGUUAGAAACUCCUGUUAUCAUUAAAUAUGAACUCAAACAGGAAGACCUUAAAAUGGAUAAUUCAUCUCUAAACCAUGCUCAGUAAUCUCUCCUUGCAAGGACAUCAUUAACAAACUAUGUACUCAGAGAAAACAAUUAGUAGCACCAUCUUAACUGUUUUCACCAAUGUCAAAGGCAGAAUUUUACACAAUAAAGAGAACUAUUUGAACCCAUUUACGAUAAUCUAAAAGGAAAAUUAUACCACUUGAGAUCCAUCUGGUAUAAGUUGGGAGCGCCGCGUGUCAAGUACCUUUUUCAACGCAUAGUGACAUCUGACAUAAUGAGCAAAAAGAAAUAUUAAAAAGGACUAAUAUUGUAUAUUUGUUAACCAAGUAAAUAAUAUAAUAUGGCAAGUGAUGGGUACCUCCAAGGUAAAUGAUCCAGAAACAUAGUUGGUGAGACAAUAAUAUCCUUAAAUGAAUCUUUAUUUGCUAUAUAAGCUCUAUAGCUGCAUUCAUUGUCUUGAGCUGUCCAAAGCUUCCAAAGGGUAGUUUCUAAGUUGUUCCUCUCUGGUACUAUAUAAAUGACUAAUCCUGGUAAAAACAAAUCAGGAAUAUCUUCAGGUGCUGAUGGCACAUCUUCUAUAAACUGAGAGACUGGGUCCUCAACUAUAUCGGCAGAGGAUUGGUAAUAUGGCUUCAUAAAACUAUGAGAGGAACUGCAAUCAAUUUCAUCACAAGAACUAUUUUCCAUCUUAGUAUUUUUCCC
rnacentral:lncRNA from 1 species